GAUGAACGCUAGCGGUGUGCUUAACGCAUGCAAGUCGAACGUGAAGCUUCCUUCGGGAAGUGGAAAGUGGCGAACGGGUGAGUAACACGUAGGUAACGUACCCUAGGGAGGGGGACAACAGGUGGAAACGCCUGCUAAUACCCCGGAUGUCACUUCGGUGACUAAAGCUCCGGCGCCCUAGGAGCGGCCUGCGGCCCAUCAGUUAGUUGGUAAGGUAACGGCUUACCAAGACAAAGACGGGUAGGGGACGUGAGAGCGUGGACCCCCACACUGGUACUGAUACACGGACCAGAUACCUACGGGUAGCAGCAGCGAGGAAUAUUGCGCAAUGGGGGCAACCCUGACGCAGCAACACCGCGUGGAGGAAGAAUGUCUUCGGAUUGUAAACUCCUUUUCUGUGUGAAUAGAAAGGAAGGUAGCACAGGAAUAAGGCCCGGCUAACUACG
rnacentral:rRNA from 1 species